rnacentral:lncRNA from 1 species
CCAAAUUUGAAAUGUUUUUAAAAAAGGAAAAUUCCAAAACCCCCCUGUGGUUUCGUACUUUCUCACUUUAGUAUCCUGUAGCUUAAAAUGUAUCAAUUUGCCCCCCUGUGGUUUUAUUUUUUAACUUUUUUAUAGCUUUUUUUUUUAUAUUUCAUUAAAUUAUAUAAAAAAAACUUCAGAUACCCAUAUAGAUUUAAUGAAUAUUUAUUUUAGUACCUCUUUAAUUUUAAUUUUAUCACUGAUUUAAGAAAAAAAAAAUUGAUAAAAAAGAGAAAAAUGAAACCAUAAGGGAUAAAUUGAUACACUUUAAAUCACAGGGUAUUAAAGUGAGAAAGUACGAAACCGGAGAUUUUUGAAGUUAU